GUAAGUUCCUGAAGUCUGCGGUGCCAAGUUCCAAGUGCAAACAUGUCCAGUGAAAAAAGCGUGAUCAAAGAUUUAGCACCAUCAACAUUCACUUGAGAAACAAACCAGAAUGGUUCCUUGAGAAGAACUCUCUUAGUAUGGUGCCAACACUGGAGACACCUGCUGGUGAGGUGAUCUACGAAUCUUCAAUCACCUGUGAAUACCUGGAUGAAGCGUAUCCAGAGAAAAAGCUGCUUCCCUCCAACACCUUUUGGUAAAGCCCGGCAAAGAAUGAUGCUGGAGCAAUUUUCCAAAGUGGAGCUGCACUUCUACAAGAUCCCAGUGCGGAGGUCGAAAGCGGAAGAUGUCUCAGGACUAGAAGAUGAGCUGAAAGUGGCUUUGACCAAGUUAGAACAUUUUAUAUAUGUGUAUAAAACAUUUUUUUUUUACUUUAGCCACCAGUUGUAAAGUAUUGUUUUAUAGGUUAAAACAGUCUUGUCAGACUGCAGAGCUAAAAUGGUGUCCGUGCAACACAUUUAUUUUUACUUUUAGCACCUUGCGAAGAAGAAAACAAAGUUCUUGGAUGGUGAUACCAUCACAAUGAUCGACUACAUGUUGUGGCCAUUUUUUGAGAGGAUUGAAAUGGGUGACC